rnacentral:rRNA from 1 species
GGAUCCCAUCAGAACUCCACAGUUAAGCAUGCUUGGGCGAGAGUAUUACUAGGAUGGGU